rnacentral:rRNA from 1 species
UAGGGAAUCUUCCGCAAUGGACGAAAGUCUGACGGAGCAACGCCGCGUGAGCGAUGAAGGCCUUCGGGUCGUAAAGCUCUGUUGUUAGGGAAGAACAAGUACCGUUCGAAUAGGGCGGUACCUUGACGGUACCUAACCAGAAAGCCACGGCUAACUACGUGCCAGCAGCCGCGGUAAUACGUAGGUGGCAAGCGUUGUCCGGAAUUAUUGGGCGUAAAGCGCGCGCAGGCGGUUCCUUAAAGUCUGAUGUGAAAGCCCACGGCUCAACCGUGGAGGGUCAUUGGUAACUGGGGAACUUGAGUGCAGAAGAGGAAAGCGGAAUUCCACGUGUAGCGGUGAAAUGCGUAGAGAUGUGGAGGAACACCAGUGGCGAAGGCGGCUUUCUGGUCUGUAAACUGACGCUGAGGCGCGAAAAGCGUGGGGAGCAAAACAGGAUUAGAUACCCUGGUAGUCCACGCCGUAAACGAUGAGUGCUAAAGUGUUAGGGGGUUUCCGCCCCUUAGUGCUGCAG